CUUAAAUGAAUUGACGGGGCCCGCACAAGCGGUGGAGCAUGUGGUUUAAUUCGAUGCAACGCGAAGAACCUUACCUGGGCUUGACAUCCCGGGAAUCCCUUGGAAACAAGGGAGUGCCCUUCGGGGAACCUGGAGACAGGUGCUGCAUGGCUGUCGUCAGCUCGUGUCGUGAGAUGUAGGGUUAAGUCCCGCAACGAGCGCAACCCUUGCCAUUAAUUGCCAUCAUUUAGUUGGGCACUUUAAUGGGACUGCCGGUGACAAACCGGAGGAAGGUGGGGAUGACGUCAAGUCCUCAUGGCCCUUAUGGCCAGGGCUACACACGUGCUACAAUGGCCGGUACAAAGAGUUGCGAUACCGCGAGGUGGAGCUAAUCUCAUAAAGCCGGUCUCAGUUCGGAUUGGAGUCUGCAACUCGACUCCAUGAAGUUGGAAUCGCUAGUAAUCGCGGAUCAGCACGCCGCGGUGAAUACGUUCCCGGGCCUU
rnacentral:rRNA from 1 species